CGAACAGAAGCAGCGUGAGGAGCCCCGGGGCCCCAGGUGUGGUGUGAGGAGGAGGCAGCAGGAAAUUGGCCUUCUUGGCUUUAGCCAGCAGCUUGCUCCCCAGUCCGAAGGAAGCCCUCUCUCAUCCCCAAGAGUUUCCAGUUCGGGAGUCUCUCCCACCCUCCCUUUCCUCCUACACUGAGAAGACAAGCGAUUUGGUAAAACUUAUACAUGACUCUUAUCAGUCCUAAACAAGAACAAAUGGGAAGAAUUCAGAGAAACUUGGGAAGAUUUGUAUGACUUGAUGCAAUAUCUGGCUGAACCAGGACAAGGAGUUCUCCUCGAUCACAGCAAUAGAAAGGAAAAUGGAUAACUUCGAGACACCAGAAGUCGGAUCCAUGAAUGAAGAAGAUGGUUGGGGCUUUUUAGAGAACUUGAACCUGGAGAUUAGUGUCUGGGGGCAGAGGGGUGGAGAACCACCAGCCAGAAUGAGGCAUUCGGUCAAUGGGUUGUUUGGGUUUGCUCAGUUAUACCAAGGGAAGGUUCUUUGGAAAAGUGGGUGGAGAAAUCACUGAGAAAUGAUAGUUUGUGGGGGUUUUAAAAGACAACAUUUUUUCAACCCUUACCUUCCAUCUUAAUAUUACUUCUAAGACAAAAGAGUGGCAAUGGGGGUUAAGUGACUUGCCCAGAGUCUAGGAACAGCUAGGAAGUAUCUGAGUUCAUUUUUUUUUUUAAACCCUUACCUUCCCUCUUGGAAUCAAUACUGUGUAUUGGCUCCAAGGAAGAAGAGGUAAGGGCUGGGCAAUGGGGGUUAAGUGACUUGCCCAAGGUCACACAGCUAAGGAAGUGUCUGAGGUCAAAUUUGAACCUACGACCUCAAUCUCUAGGGCUGGCUCUCAUCUCAAUCCACUGAGCUGCCCCCUGAACCUAGGUCCUCCCAAGUCUAGACCUGGUGUUCAACAACAACAACAAAAAAAAACCUAAGUUCUUUAUAAAUAUAAUUUCAUUUAAUAAUAAUAAUAAUGGCUAGCAUUCAUAUACUAUUCACUAUGUGCCAAGUGCUUUACAAAUAUCUCAUUUAAUAAUAAUUGCUAGUAUUUUAUAUAGCAUAUUUUAUAAAUAUUUUUAAGGAUAAAAUAUUUUAUUUAUAAUUUUUUAAAGAGAAAGAGAAAAGAAGAAAAAUAAAAUAAAGAGAAAGAGAAGUAGGAGUGCAGUUGGGUGCCAGCAGAGGUCUCUCAGGUCAACCUCAACCUCAAUCCUUAGCCUCUUAUCCAACUGGGAGAUAAUGCUCAAAUCCCUGCCCAUUAAUGCAAUGGGAUUAGGUGCAAGGCUCUCAGGUAAACUAUUUUGGUCUGUUGUCUGCCGACUCCCACCUCCUACUCCACCAAUCCCUGUCUCUAGAGGUCUAUGAUUCUAUAACCCAGAAUCCCCUUCUUCUGCAUUCUCUGUCUCUGUAUCCCUCCUUCCCUACUAUCUGUCUAUGGAUCCCUGAACCCCAUGCCAAGUUCCCAUUCUGGCUUUACUUGAAUGUCCAAGGACAUGUGGUUUGGGGAGAGAGACCCUCUUCUUCAUAGUUUCCUCUUGUCUCCCACAAAGAUCCCCUCCCCUACUAAUUUGGCUUCAUAAAAGCUGACCCAUCCAUUGAACAUGAAGGGGUCAGAUAAUUAAGGGGCAGGCUCGGCAUGUGUGAUUGUGUCAUUGGCAAAGCAAACUUCUGGAUGAGGGAACUCUUUCUUACCAAGACAGAUCAGAACCUUCUCUGCAACUAAUAAUCCUAGAUUUUUUUUACCCUUAUUUUCUGUCUUAGUAAUACUCUUAAAGACAGAAGGGCAAGGGCUAUAUAAAGGAAUUUGGGGUUAAGUGACUGGAUCAGGAUCACACAACUAGGAAGUGCCUGAGUCUGGAUUUGAACCCAAGUCCUCCUAACUCCAGGCCUGUUGCUCUAUCCCCUGUGAAACCUAGUUGCCUCAAAGAUCACAAAGCAAGCAAGUCUAUGUAAGAGAUGAGACUUGAACUCAGGUCUUCCAGGCUCUGACCACAAGGCUACAUUGUCUCAUAUCAUUUACAUUUACCUGUUUACCUGUUUAUUUUUAUCUCUUCUCCCUCCUCCCUCCUGCUCCAAUAUGCUCCUUAAAGGCAGACUUUCUAUCCCCAGUUUUUAGCACUGUGUCCAGUACAGAGCGAGUGCUUAAUGAAUGCUCAUUGGAUUGGAAAUAAGUUACAUAAGUAUUAUUAUUAUCAUCCCUAUUUUACAGAUGAGAAAACCAGCUCUUGGAAAAGUGAAGUGAUUUGCCUAAAGACCACACAAUUAGGAAGUAUGAUUAUAAUUAAAUUUGAACCCAAGGCCAGUGGUAAUGUCCAGUGAAUCUUUAUGCUAUGGGGAAUGGAAUUUUCUAGACUCCAAAUAAAAAUAUUUGUUUUUGUGGU